UCACGCUAUAUCUUUGAUAUGAAAGAAUAUGUAUUCAUUUAUCUGAGGUGGUGGAACUGCGUUCCUCCCCGUUCCCCCCCACUUUAACCCCUAUGUGUGUGCGCAAGCAUGUGUACUUAAUUUGUGUGUAAGUGUGCCUGUGUGUGUGUGUUUCUGUAUGUGUGAGUGUGUGUGCAAGCUUACAUGAGUGUGUAUGUUCUGUGCUUGGUAAAUCUGAAGGCAAACCUGUAACUGUGUGUGUUGUGUGCUUGGUAAAUCUGAAGGCAAACCUGUAACUCUGUGUGUGUGCAUGGUAAAUCUGAAGGCAAACCUGUAACUGUGUGUGUGUGCAUGGUAAAUCUGAAGGCAAACCUGUAAUUGCCAUUUGUAUAUUUCUAUUAGGUAACAGAAGAGGCCAGACUCCCCUGUACCCAGCUGUGUCCAUGAAGAGUGACCAGUCCAUGGAUCAUCCAAUGAGAUUUGGAGAAGGAGACCCUACUACUGACCAGCCAGACUCCCCUAUACCCAGCUGUGUGUCCAUGAAGAGUGACCAGUCCAUGGAUCAUCCAAUGAGAUUUAGAGGAGGAGACUCUACUACUGACCAGGGAGUCACAUAUCCACCCAAAGCCAUAUGGCCACUAUCAUAAGUUAGGUCUGGACUCCAUGUGUGAUGCUACUCAGGAUGCUGCAUGUUAUGGGGCUCUGGGAGGACCUGUGUACCUGCAGCUGAUGAGGGACACCAGAGGACAUGAACUGAAGCUCUAUUAUUAUGUCUAGUGCAGCUGAUUUUAUAUUAAGAAGAUCCAAGUCAGUGUUCUAUAAAGAGUUCAACACCCCAUCAGUCCUCCAGAGGUGGCAGUUUGUUCCUAAUAACGGGACCAUGAUUAUCAACCCUGCAGAGAGGAGAGACACAGGAACAUACAGAGUGGAGAUCACUGAUAAAGACGGGAAAUCAGUGGGAUAUUACACAGUGCAGCUGACCAUAGAAGCUCCCGUGUCUGAUGUGGACCUUUCAAUCACCUGCUCAGCCUAUGGGGAGAGGAGGGCGAUGUGCUCCUCCAAUGGGGACAGUCCUCAGUACAGCUGGUCUCCGGAUGGGAGGCCUCUAAAUGAAACCUCAACUUCAGCUGAAACACCAGAGUCUGAUCUGACCAAUAGUACCUCAGCUGAAACACCAGAGUCAAGUCCUGGUUGCAGCACAGAUCUCCUGGAGUGAACUCAGGGGAAUCUCACCUGUUCAGCCAGAAACAACAUCAGCAGCGUCAGCAAGACCCAACCACUACCCUCCUGCACAAAUAAGGACCACACCAUCAGAGUUUACAUCAGUGUGUGUGUGUGUGUGAAUGUGUGUAUGUUCAAAUAUACCAAUGAUGACCCCCUCUCUAAGGCUACGUAUCACAAUCACGUUUUGUGUGAAUGUUUAAGCUACAGUCAUCCAAUAGAGAUCUUUAUGUGAUUCUACAUAUUGAAGGAUGCCAACCAUCCAUCACAGCUUACAGUAGUGUGCUGUUUUUACCUGAUACACAGUGAGAUUUAUAACGGUAGUGUGCUGUUUCUACCUGUUAUACAGUGAUAUUUCUAACGGUAGUGUGCUGUUUCUACCUUUUUACAUUACAUUACAUUACAUUACAUUUGGCUGACGCUUUUUUAACCAAAGCGACUAA